CCUACGGGUGGCAGCAGUGGGGAAUAUUGGGCAAUGGGCGCAACCCUGACCCAGCAACGCCGCGUGAAUGAAGAAGGCUUUCGGUUUGUAAAGUUCUUUUCUCAGGGACGAAGCAAGUGACGGUACCUGAGUAAUAAGCCACGGCUAACUACGUGCCAGCAGCCGCGGUAAUACGUAGGGGGCAAGCGUUAUCCGGAUUUACUGGGUGUAAAGGGAGUGUAGGCGGGAAAGCAAGUCUGAUGUGAAAGGCAUGGGCUCAACCUGUGGACUGCAUUGGAAACUGUUUGGCUUGAGUACAGGAGAGGUAAACGGAAUUCCUAGUGUAGCGGUGAAAUGCGUAGAUAUUAGGAGGAACACCAGUGGCGAAGGCGGUGUACUGGACAGCAACUGACGCUGAGGCGCGAAAGCGUGGGGAGCAAACAGGAUUAGAUACCCUAGUAGUC
rnacentral:rRNA from 1 species